rnacentral:tRNA from 1 species
GGGCCUUUAGCUCAGUUGGUCAGAGCAACCGGCUCAUAACCGGUCGGGCCACGGUUCGAGUCCGUGAAGGCCCACCA